UGAAAUUAUUACAAAUAUCUGUGUUUACUGGUCAAGAAAUCCAAAACAAACACAACCAAAAAGAGAAACUAUUUGCAAUUUAUCAUUGAAAGAGGUAAAGUAUCCUCUUCACUUCAAAAUCAUUCACAGAUAUUUUAUGUAUCACUGUCAACUUGAAGUUGGAUAUCAUCAAGCACAAGAGUAUUAAAAACUGAGUGCAGUGUGUUGUAAAAUAUGUCUCCUGUGAUAUUUAUUUUUAUUGAACAAACUCUGAAUCCACUAUAAAUUUUGUUUUGUUAUGGAAAAUUCCAAUAAAUGCCCCUCUUAAAGUCAAUUGGUUCAAGUAAAUAUAUUAUAAAAAUUACAUAUACUAUGAAAGUUUCAGUUUUAUAAAUACUCAAAAAGGCAUAAUUCUAGAACUUCACUACAAGCAUUUUUGUUCUCAAGCAUUCAAUUACUUAUUAGCAUGUACAGGCAGCAGUUGACUAUGCUGAUAUCUCCAAAAUGUCGUUCACAUACCACAACACCUACAUAGGCAGAGUAUGGAGUGGAUAUUGUAUUCUUCAGUCUAUGACAGGAUGUUUUCUACAAAAAAAAAAAAAAAAUCUAUGCAUUUCAAAAUCAUGACUGAGAUUUUUUUCUUAAUAAAUAUAGUAAUACAUUUCAUAAAUUCAAACAUUGCAUUCAUUUAACUAGAAGGAGAAACGAAAAACAAAUCUAAGUUAUUAAUUACAAAGGUAACAAAAUGGCUAAAAUCUUAUAAAACUGUUUCCAUGUCUGUUUACCAUUUUAUAUGUAGUUUGGCAUAGAAGAAAUAUUUUCAGUAAACCUCUCUAGGAUUUUUUUUAUAGGUGUAUUGUAACACUGUUUAAAUGUCUUAAAAGAAAAAAAUCAUAACUUCCCCAGAGGAACAUGUGACUUCACAAACUCCUAUCGCUGAAUAUUAGUUAGUAGUACAAUUACAUGCUGUUUGCUACUCCUAUAAUCAAGAAAAUUAGCUAGCGCAGUGAUUACUAUAAAUAAUCUUGAGCUACAAAAAAAUAAUCACAUAAUUUGUGUGACAAUUCCUUGUGCUUCUAAAAAUAUUGAUACAUAGAACACAUGCCAACAUCCCUUUCUAAGGAUGAUAAUCUUUAAACAAUCUCCCGCUUUCUUUCUUCCCAUAAUUGGGGAUUUACUUUUUUUUUUCUUUCUUCUGGAAAGUCUCUUAAGAGUUGCUUCACCUAUUCCUUCUGUGAGGUUACAAGGCUGAUUAAAGCUGCCUUUAGUUUACUAGAACCAUAGUAUUUAAUAAUAUUAAUAAUAUCCAAGUACUUUACAAUAUAUUUGAAAGUGAUUAAGAAGGGUAACUGAAUUGACAACUGAUUAAUGUCCCAAUUAAUAUUAUUAUUAUCUACCUAGGGAGGAUGAAGGCUGAGAUGACUGUGCUGGGGCUAGAACAUACAACAUUGAAGUUUGAACAGAUUCUGCAGUCGAUACAGUCAAAUAAACGUUUCACAUGAUAAAAAGUUGUGUAAGUCAAAAUGUUAGCUGUUGAAGCAUCCACUACAAAAGGAUAUACGUAUAUAUUUCAUAGAAUGUUGGCAUGUAUGCUAUGGUGUCAAUUUAUAACCCUGUAAAAAUCCUGUAAUGCUAUUGGCAUGCAUAAUCUCUAUUUAAACUUGACUAAUACAAAUUCAAAGAAUAGUACAAAAGAAUUUUUUCUCCCUAAAUGGAUUUUCUGAUGCAGGCACUGGAAGAAUAAGUGGAUCUUCUCUAACAUGAGCGUCACAAUAGGCCAUCAAAUCUGCUGCAGCCUUGGAAACCUAGAACAUAGAAAGGGAUUUUUUUUAAGCAAUAAGUAGAAAUCCACAUAGCUUAUAUAGUACAUAACCUGCGUAAAUAUAUUUAAUUAAAAUAAUCUGUAAUGUGUAAGCAUAAG